rnacentral:rRNA from 1 species
GCUAGUAAUCGUGGAUCAGCAUGCCACGGUGAAUACGUUCCCGGGUCUUGUACACACCGCCCGUCACACCAUGGGAGCCGGUAAUACCCGAAGUCAGUAGUCUAACCGCAAGGAGGACGCUGCCGAAGGUAGGAUUGGCGACUGGGGUGAAGUCGUAACAAGGUAGC